AAAGAGAGAGAGAGAGACGGAAAGAGAGAGAGAGACUGAAAGAGAGAGAGAGAGAGACUGAAAGAGAGAGAGAGACUGAAAGAGAGAGAGAGACUGAAAGAGAGAGAGAGAGACUGAAAGAGAGAGAGAGCGACUGAAAGAGAGAGAGACUGAAAGAGAGAGAGACUGAAAGAGAGAGAGAGACUGAAAGAGAGAGAGAGAGAGACUGAAAGAGAGAGAGAGAGAGACUGAAAGAGAGAGAGACUGAAAGAGAGAGAGAGCGACUGAAAGAGAGAGAGACUGAAAGAGAGAGAGAGAGACUGAAAGAGAGAGAGAGAGGGACUGAAACAGAGAUACUAAAAGAGAGAGAGAGACUAAAAGAGAGAGAGAGACUGAAAGAGAGAGAGCGAGAGACUGAAAGAGAGAGAGACUGAAAGAGAGAGAGACUGAAAGAGAGAGAGAGAGAGACUGAAAGAGAGAGAGAGAGAGACUGAAAGAGAGAGAGAGACUGAAAGAGAGAGAGACUGAAAGAGAGAGAGAGCGACUGAAAGAGAGAGAGACUGAAAGAGAGAGAGAGAGACUGAAAGAGAGAGAGAGAGGGACUGAAACAGAGAUACUAAAAGAGAGAGAGAGACUAAAAGAGAGAGAGAGACUGAAAGAGAGAGAGCGAGAGACUGAAAGAGAGAGAGAGAGACUGAAACAGAGAUACUAAAAGAGAGAGAGUGUAUGAGGUCCAGGUGUCUGUGAGAGUGUAUCAGGUCCAGGUGUCUAUAAGAGUGUAUCAGGUCCAGGUGUCUGUAAGAGUGGAUCAGGUCCAGGUGACUGUAAGAGUGGAUCAGGUCCAGGUGACUGUAAGAGUGGAUCAGGUCCAGGUGACUGUAAGAGUGGAUCAGGUCCAGGUGACUGUAAGAGUGGAUCAGGUCCAGGUGACUGUAAGAGUGGAUCAGGUCCAGGUGACUGUAAGAGUGGAUCAGGUCCAGGCGUCUGUAAGAGUGGAUCAGGUCCAGGUGACUGUAAGAGUGGAUCAGGUCCAGGUGACUGUAAGAGUGGAUCAGGUCCAGGUGUCUAUAAGAGUGGAUCAGGUCCAGGUGUCUAUAAGAGUGGAUCAGGUCCAGGCCCGUCCUGCUGGUAAAUGUGACAGCACUGGUUCAGAUAGAGAGGACAGGGGACAGUACCUAGAGAUCCGUCUCCCAUUAAUUAUGCUGCAGUGCUGAAGAAGGGAUGUCAGGUGGGAGGAAAGGAGGUAUGGGAUCCUUUCAAGCGUUGCCCAGAUAGUCUGGCAGAGACGCCAGGGAACAGUGACUCAGGGUGGAGUGGAGCCACAGUGUUUUAGAUAAGUAGAUGAAACCGAGGAGCCACAGUGUUUUAGAUAAGUAGACGAAACCGAGGAGCCACAGUGUUCUAGAUAAGUAGAUGAAACCGAGGAGCCACAGUGUUCUAGAUAAGUAGAUGAAACCGAGGAGCCACAGUGUUCUAGAUAAGUAGAUGAAACCGAGGAGCCACAGUGUUUUAGAUAAGAAGAUGAAACCGAGGAGCCACAGUGUUUUAGAUAAGUAGAUGAAACCGAGGAGCCACAGUGUUUUAGAUAAGUAGAUGAAACUGAGGAGCCACAGUAGUGGCAUCACACCGCUGUUACAGCUGGCCUGGUUGGACCUUUCAGCGAACAGACAAACACACACAAGAGGAGGGAGGGAUACGGACAGGUCACGGGUCACUCUGCGCCUGAGAAAUGUAAUGACUAACUAAUUACAAAUACAUUGUCCCCCAGGAGCCGUUUGUCUAACAUGGAGGGGGGAGAAAGGGAGGAGGGGGAGAGAGAGAGGGG
ensembl:lncRNA